GUGUGGGCCAGGGACCCAAAAGUGUGGGUCCUGCCCCAUAGGUGUGGGUCAGGGACCCCUAAGUGUGGGUCUCAGCCCCAUAAGUGUGAAUCCUGCCCCAUAAGUGUGGGUCAGGGACCCCUAAGCGUGGGUCUCAGCCCCCUAAGUGUGGGUCUGACCCCAUAAGUGUGCCCCCAGUGCCCCCUCCCCUUGGUAGCCCAGUCCCCACACUUGGUAGCCCAGCAGCCACACUUGGUAGCCACCAUUGC
rnacentral:lncRNA from 1 species